rnacentral:lncRNA from 1 species
UAGGCAAGCACAAAGUUGGCAUGCUGCCUAGUUGGGCGGUGUAGGCGCUUGUGCCCUUCACCUUGCAUGGGAAUAAGGGGAGGGGGGAUGCCCCUCGGCCCCUCCCAUUCUCAAAAAGUGUGAUAAUGAGAAAUCGAAAAAUGUUAGAGUAGAAUAUAGUGUUGUGUUGACUGUAUCGACUAACCAAGAGGAAGUAUGGUCGCCAUCCAGAGGUGGGGGAGAAGUCGAUGUUGGAAAGGAGUCAAGUGUUGUAACCAGUCGCCGUGUGCAGCAUGUGCUAAAAGGAGUUGUUGCAGUCCAGAAGACGUGAUUGGUGUGUGAUAAUCCAGAGGGACAUUAAUGCUCGAGUGAAUUUUGGAAAUGAGAGGCAGUAAAUGUGUUUGAGGAUGGAGUGGUGG